UUUCCGUAGGUGAACCUGCGGAAGGAUCAUUAUUGUAUAAUCGAGGUUCGAGGUCUGUCGCUGAACCGCAAGGUCGUGCACGCCCGAGUGCCCCCACACACAUCCAUCUUACCCCUCUGAGCACCAUCGAGUGGGUCCUCAUUUGGCUUGUUAGGUGCGAGGAAUACGUUUUUACCCAAACUAUGUAUGAAGUGCAGAAUGUAUUUUUUGUUUUCGCGAUUACGCUAUAAAUACAACUAUCAACAACGGAUCCCUUGGUCUUCGCAUAGAAGAAGAACG
rnacentral:misc_RNA from 1 species